UGGGGGGGGGGGGGGGGGGUGUUAAUUUGGUUUUAUAGGCUUAGAAAGUCAUUCUGGUCUUUGGUUUAUAAUCUGUUCGAUAAUAUGUAAACAACAAAGACUGCAUGCCUAAUAUAACUUCAAAACAUGAACAUUUAAACUAGCUAGAUAACUAAUAAGAUUCCAGUGUAUAAGUUUUCUCCACUGGAAAGUCAUUCAUAAGAAUCCUAAAGGAGACUAAACAAAGUCAAUACGCGUUUUAAAAGUAGACGUGAUAUUAUACCCGUUUACUCGAUUUAAACAAAAAUCGAGCAUACUUUUUUUUUUUUUUUUUGGUAAAAAUGUUAAGAUAUUAUUACCAAUUUUCAAGUUUUUGACAGAAAUACAAAGGCGACAAAAAAUGGAGAAACGAAAAUCAAAGACCUAAACACCAACUCGAGACAGACUAAUACAGGGAUAGACACAACAAGCAACACCCACUGACCGGCAGCCUCGACUAAUCCACACAACCACUUGCCGCAAAAGGAAGAACCACAAUUAUAACGAGAGUCAGAACCCGGUAAUUUUGGCCUCCCCGAUGAUCCGCUCUUAAAGAUUGGUUCAACCAAGAACAGCUCGAGGAAGGUAUCAACAAGACCGAGCAUUUAUUGAAUGCCAAGCCCCGAAGGAGCCACACGAAAAACCUGCACAAAACGGGGUGAGAAGCAGCCACAUCUCUACCCUAGACACACCAGACCAAGACAUUCAAGCCGGAUGAACACACCCACAAGACACAGAGACGCCCGGGCGUUAAGGGUCAAGCGCUGGGAUGAUGGGUUCAAUCACAUGGAGACACGUCCUAUCCGAAUGACCAACCCGGAUAGGAGAGUCACAACACAGACCGUUCUUGAGAACCAGAGAACUGGCCGACUCGAAUCGGAACAAGAAUAGGACACCGAAGAACAGCCGAAGAACGGCACCGGAGAGAACUCGAUGAGUUUCACGCAGGAAACUAGAACGAGCGCUAAGGGGAGAAACCAUGACCAGAGAAGGACAAGCAGGAAGCCGACGCAAAGGUUCCAAGCCCAAGCCAUAGACGACUUAUAGUUGGAGACCAAAGACGCCGAGCACACGCUCAACAAAGUUUGCUAGAGACGACACACGACGCAUCCCGCAAGACCACAAACGUGCUGAUGGAGAAGAACUACACCGCACCAACUGAACAGAGGAUAACAAUAACCGCCCUUCGACGAGACACCACGCCAAAGGAGAAGCCACGCGCCACCGCUCAUCACCGUCGGGACAACGAGAAGAGCCGGGAGACACAAAUAAGAACAGAUCCCGAACGGAGAAGCCCUCACACAAGAACACGCGCCACAAAACAACCGGGAGUCGCCGUAGAUCUAAGAUUGAAAAACGACCAUCGAACAAACCCCAGCCCCAAGAGCCGACCCUAACCACCACCACCGCUACACCUACCUCACCGUAUCACCAGAGACGCAAGAUGACCACCGGUUUCAGCCUAGGUUCUUCCGCCGGCGGAGCUCGAAGCCCCAGAGACACAAGUAUAUCGGAGGCAGCCAGAGGAAGAGAAAAGAGCAAAGGAGGAAAACAAGAGAGAAGAGGAGAGGAUGCCCUCCGACCGGCGAAAGGACAGCCGCACCGGAAGCGAACGGUGGUUACGAUUUGUUUUUUACUUUUGGCUAAUAGAGAGAGAAGAGAGGUUUUUCUUUUUUCAAUUCAAAUCGAGCAUACUUUCAGUGGUUAUUCUAUAUCCCUCCAAUUUUCUUUCCUCCAUCAUUACCAUUUUCUCCCUAUUCUAUGGUAUCCCACCUUUGUUAGUAUAUUGAACUAAUUUGCUCUUUUAUUUCACACCUUAUCUAAGAGUUGACUUCUAAAAAAACUAAGCUUUGACUACAUUUACUCUAUUCAAAACUAAAAGUACUAAAAUGAAACUAAAAGGUAAUUAACUGUCUCAUAUAUAAAAUGGACUACUUUUACUUUCUUUAUUUGCUGAGAUUACUGUACUUUUUAUUGGCAAAUAUUUCCUCCGUUUCGAAAUAAUCAUGUUUUAGAAAAAGAUACUUCGAAAAUACCUUUUUACAUUUUAUUAGAUAAUAAUAAUAAAAUGUAAAUUUUGAAUGAGUUAAUUGUGUUUAUUAAAUUUUAAUUGACUAAAAUUAUAUUAAAAAAAUCACAAAACAAUGAAUUUUCAACAAAAAAAAUGAAUUUCUAAUUAAAUUUUAAGAAAUUUUCUUAAUAUAUGUGAAUAUUCCCAAAACCUACAAUUUAUUAAAACGGAGGAAGUAGUUUUCAAAAACAGAAAAAAAAAUAUAUACAUAAAACCUUUCAUGGUAUCAGAAACAGUGCUUAAUAAAUUAAGGUGAAAUUGUGAAAAUAAAAUGUUUUAUUGCUAAGAUAUAUAUUAGCUGAAAAUUACUAUCAAGCCAUUUUCUAAAAAUCGGACGCCUAGCCGCCUAGGCAGCCACCUAGUCGCUAGGCGUCACUCAUCCGCCUCGAUUUAUACCUGAUCGGUCUAAAAAUCGGAUGUUCAGUUUUUAUCCGCCUAGACCGCCUAGAUGACCGCCUAACCGCCUAAUCCUUUUUCUAUUAUUAUUAUAUUUUUUAAAAAUAUUUUUUAUCUAUAUAUUUGAUUUAAAAUUUGAUAAAUAUAAUUUAUAUUCAUAAUUUUGAUGAAAUUACACUAUAUUAAGCUUAUAUAUUAUAUUUGUGUGUUUAUACAGUCCUAAACAUGAACAUUUAUUAAUGUUAUAAACAAUUAAAGAUUAACAUGUUUUAUAACAUAUUAAACAAUCUAAAAAUUUCGCCCCGCAAAAUUUCAGCUUAGUUCCCUAUUUUCUCUCUAGGCGCUAGGUCCAACCCGCCCGCCUGACUAGUGCGUUCCCGAACAGAGAUCAAGUAUCUGGUUGCGCUAAGCCGGUUAUACUGGCAGAGUUAAUUACUUUAGCAAAUACAUGUCUGGUAGUAUUAAGUUACUAACUACUGUAGUCUAUAAGUUACUAGUAAGAAAAAUCACAUAAAAAAAUCUUGAAAGUAUCGACUACUAACAUUUAAAAUUUUGAAGUUUUUUCACUAAUAUUUUUAACUUUCAAAGUGAUAUUUAUAUUAUAAAAAAUAUUUGAAGUUGACCGGCUGAACAAGUAAAAUAAUAAUGUGUCAGUUUUGUUUUCAAAAAUAAUUAUCUAAUUAAUAAAAUUAUAAAUUAUAAAAAAUCAGAACUAAAUAAAAAUCAGAAAAAUUUAACAAAAACUCAAAAAAUUAAAUAAUAAUUCAGAUUUUUUAAAUUAGAAAACUAAAUAAAGAUUUAGAAAAUUAAAUUAAAAAAAAAAUAAAAAAUAAGAUGAAAUUAAAAAUACAGAAAAACUAAAAACAAAUCAUAAAUUUCAAAAAAAUUGAAAAUUCAAAAAAGUUUUUUUUUUUGUUAUUUUCAACUAUAAUGUCAAAAAUUAUCAUUGGUGAUAUGCCGGAAAUCAUUAUUGGUGAUUUAGGCUUUGAUUAGUAGAACAUUAGCAUUAAGAUUAUGCUAUACUUUAUAAAUAUUUAUUUAUUUUUCUGUUUUUAAUUAAUCUGAUUUUUUUUAUUAAUUUUUAUUUAAUUUUCUGAUUUUUUAUUUAAUUUUCUGAUUUUUUUUUAUUUUUAUUUUAUUGAUUAAAUAAUUAUUUUUUUGAAAAAACUUAACACAUCAUCUUUGAAAUUUUUUUUAAAAUAAUUAGUUCAACUUUUUAUUUUGGAGAUUCUUUAUGAUAUAAAUAUCACUUUGAAUGUUAAAAGCGUUAGUGAAAAAACUUCAAUUUUUUAUGUGAUUUUCCCUACUAGUAGUGAUGAAUAUCUCUUUCUUUGGUAUGAAUUGCUAGCAAAAGAAAGAAAAUAAAUCUACUUUAUGUUAAGCUAAUAAAUUAAUCAAGAAACACUUUAAUUAGUUAAUAGAAUACCUUAAAGCCCACAAAAAUCAUGAUGUCCCCUUUUGGUAACGCAUGCUCUACCUUCCCUUUCCCUUUACGCAUUUUAUCUAUUUGAUUUAUUGAUGACCAGUUUUGCAAACUGAUGUAUCAAUUUACUCUCUUAAGCCAUGAAUGUAGGUAUCGAAACAAAACUCAUAAGAUAAACACCAUGAAAUAGAACGUCAUCAUAAAAAGAAGGGAAAAACAGCAUGAAUUGGCGUGGAAUAAAAUGACAAUCCAAAUGUUAAAAAGUAAAUUAAAGUUAUGGAAUUUAACGUAUUUUUUUAGUAAUCCGAAUAGCAAAACAAUUUUUUAAAUGCAGUUAUUAGUUCAAUUGGAUUUACAUAUGAUUUUUGCAUAUACAGUAGAAAUUUUAUAAAUUAAUACUUGGUAUAUUAAUAAACACGAUAAAUAAAUAAGUUCCAUUGGUGCCAAGUUAAACUGGAUCAAAAUAUGACGCAAAUCAUAAGAUAAUAAGAUAAUAACAAUUUAGAAAAUUACGCGUAUAUAGUUUCAUUAAAAUUUUAAAUUAAUAAUUUAUAUUUAUACAAUGUAUAUCUUAUUAAUUAUUUAAAUUUAUAACAAUUUAAAAAAUUACGCGUAUAUAGUCACAUUGUAUUGUUUGUUUUAUAUUUACAAUAGAUUUUUUUUCAUUUUUUUCUUAAGAUUUCAUAAUAUUUUGAUUAUAUUUAAUAAAAUCAUAUCUGAAACGCAUUAAAAUUGUAUGAUACAUAUCUCAUAUAUAUCAAAUAAUAUAAUAAAAAUGAUAUGAAAGUUGAAUUUAUAAAAUUUAGUAAAUAUAUAAACAGUGAAACCAACUAUUUUUCUUAUUUUAGAAAAAAAAUUAUAUUCUCAAAUAUAAAAAUCUAAAAAAUAUUUUAAUAAAUUAGUAACUCUAUAAAUUAAUAAAAUAUGAUAAUCCAACAUUAUUAGUUUAUAGAGUUUAGGUUUUUACUGUAUGUGUGUUAUGAAAAAAAAUGACAGCAGCCACAUCCAAUUUUACUUAAUCUGCUUUUUUUUUUUUGAAACUUUGAACUUAAUUACUCAAUCUGCUUGUUUUUAAGAUAUUUUGAGUCUAUUAAAUAAUGUAGUUUAAUUUUUAGAGUAGAUGUCUUCCAAUUAAUAGACUUAUCUAUAAGGUCAUUUUAUCGUUGGUUACCUAAUUUGCUUUCUUGCACAUAAUAUCAGAAUCACACGGUAAAAUGGUAACAAAUUAUGGUCAACCCAAAACAAAUCUAACCUAUACUAAAAGGGUUAUAUGAGCAUCAGAGAGUGUGUCCACGUAAGACAAUUAAAUCAUCCAAUCAGAGAACAGCUCUCCGCCACGUCAUAUACGCAUGACAAAUUCUAAUUUCCCCAAAAUCGAAUCUCGAUCCCUUUCUCUUCGUCUUCUCCGUCUGCUAUUUUAGAUCGAAACCAACUUGCUCGACUGGUCUUGCAGCGACGAAUCACCCGCGAGGCAUAGUCUUAUCUUCCGCGGUUUGAUCCCUGUGCUGUACGCAGGGUCGGCAAGAGCCUCGCACGAUGAAUCGACAGAAGAAGCUAUUGAGUUUGCGACUCAGCAGGGGAAAGAGAAGGAGCUAUGCAAGACUGGAGACUCCGUUGUUGCUCUACUCCGAGUUGGGAACGCUUCCCUAAUCAAGAUCUUGACCGUUAAGUGAUGAUGAUUAGGAAAAAUCCCGUUUUUGGCGUCUGGCGUUUGGAAGAAACGCAACUAUAUACGUUUUUCUUAAUAUGAAUUUUGUUCAAGAUUUGUGAUUAAAAUCUUGAGAUAGAAAACUCUAAUUCUCUUUCUUGAUAAUUACAACUGUGGUGACCCGUGUGAAUCCACUUACGGUUUUUUUUCUUCUGGAUACUCAGGUGGUUGUAUGGAACUAAUGAAUCGUACACGUAUCUCUACUAUAAUGACUUUUUUUUGUUUUUUUGUUUUGUUUUGGUGAAGUUUGAUGCUUUGGUUGCAGCCUUUCCGUUAUCAGACUGAGGUGAAGAAACUCAGUUGAAAAGAAUUGUUGAACUCCUGGUAAUAUAUGUCUCACUCACUGAUAAGUUGAGCUCGAUAAAUAAAUCAUUGCAUGUUCCCUUCUAUGCUAUUUUUCUUCAGGUGGAAAAUGAUGUUAUUGGCCAAGAGCUCUCUAACGAUUUACAUCUAUUCUGAUCCAACUGCUGCGGAACGUUUGUAUCGAAGAAAGAUGUCAUGUAGAAAAAGGUAUGUUAAACAGUUUACUCUCUCCUUAUAUUCUAAACUAAAACCUCGGAAUAUAAUUUUAGUUGUUUAUCUUUGUUUUAUUUCAGUCAUCAGCUGGGCAAGCACAAGGUUUAACAACCACUAAACCACUCAGUUGAGACAGUAGGAUCUCUUUCGUGUUGAUCAUACAAGGUCUGUUGCUAGGCUGAGAUUUUUAUAUUUUUCUGUGAGAAUAAAUGGAGUAUGAAAAAAAAUUAACCAAUCCCUAACACUUAUAACAAACUUCACUAUCUCCCUCUCUAUUCGUUACCAACUCAAAUCACUUUUACCAUGUCAUUGAAGCUUGCGAUAUAGAGCUAGAAGACAAAGCCAGAGAAGUAGCACAGCUGAAAACAGAGAGGUAGAGCUAGAGAGAAUUACGAGGCUGAAGCAUGUAGAGGCAGACAUAUCCCCAGCUAAAAGUUAACGAUGCAAAGCGGAGGCUGAUUGGUCGAUUAUUAAGGGCAUGGACAAUAUUCAAACGCUGGAUGCAAAAUUGUUUUCAGUAUUUUAUUUGCUAACGCCACCGUAUGUGCAGGUUGCAGAGUUUAAAUGCCUACUCGGUGUUAAAGCUAAUACCAAAGAAUGAAUACUAUGACAAAAACUCUCCAGCUUCCAAAAGAAUUUGAUGCUACAACCGCUUGGUGACAGUGCACCAGUGUUGGAAGGAUCCUAGGUUAGUCUUAGAUUCCAUUAUCUGUGCCUCUAUUCAUUGUCUUGAAAAAUAUGAUAUACUGGUUCUUCUUCUUAAGUUCUGUAUCUAAUUCUCUCAUUGAGUAUCACACUAAAGAUCACGUAAAAUUUUGCUUGCUAGGUUUUUAUAUUCAUUAGUGUGUUCUAACAAUUUCCAAUUUCCAACUAGACAAAAAUUGAUGAUUGCUAGCAUCUUUCUAUCAGAAAGAUUAAUAUGGUGUCCAAAACAUCAUUUAGAUAGUAAUCGUCUAUACACUUGAGUCUAUGUGGUUUUAUUCCGAAAUCAGUUGUAAGAAGAUACUGUUGUGGUCGCUUCUUUUCAGAGUACUGUAGUAAAGGUUCUUCUCGACAUGUGCAGGUGCUUUUUUAUACAACUAAAUAAAUGUCUAAUACCAACCCGAGGAUGCUGUACAUUGACAAUGUUGAUGAUGAAACAGAAGAUUCCGAGGACGAUUUAGAUGAGAACUUUCAUGGGGAUGACAUGCCUGCAUCCCACUGCAAUGUCGACGAGUUUGACUAGAAAAAAAUUAUCAUUAUUUUUUAUAUCUCUGUUCAGGGGAAGAGAAAGAUUUGGCUCAACAGAUGCCGCCAACAUAUUUUUUUAUCCUUCUUUUCGCUUCGGUACAUCCACAACACAUAUUCUAUAAUUGUUAGUUUGUUUUUCUCUCCUCAGGUCUCAUUCAUCUUCUGUCUAUUUGGAAAUUAAACUUACUGAAGAAGUUGCAAGGGAUAAGCAAAUUUGCUUCUUCUUCAGGAAACAAGUAAGCAUCACCUCCUCUCUGAGAAAUGUUUCAUUGUUUCUUCGACUUUGGAUCAAUUUUCCAGAGAUUUUAACACUUUCACUGAAAUUUUUUAAGGUUAGGUUGCAAGAAACACUGACACCAAAGAAGUUGCUUAUUCUAGCUCUUCAGGAAGCUGAGAGAAAUGGAAAUAGCAUAUAUAUUAUCUGCCUUAUCCGUGAGUACACUUAUGGCUUCCACUCACACUUUAAUUAGUGUUCCAGAAUUAGUUUGGGGCUUUAUGUUAACUGCUAUUGGUUACAGGUGUGGAGAAUUCAGAGGAUGAGGACCAUACUUCUCAGGUAGGUUCUUACAUUACUACUUAACAAUUUUUUUACCUUAGAGCUGAGAACCUUUUUUUAACAAUAUGAACCUUUGUGCCCACGUAUGUAAAAAUAAAUACUGUCCAACCCCUUCUUUUGUUUAGUCAUGUGUUCUCCAAAGUACAAAGUUAUGAAAAGACGUUCCCAUUAUCGAGGAGAUACGUCAUACAUGUUCCAUCUAUCUAUUAUGCUUCCCUCUGGUAUUAGUUUUUUUGUUUCCAUGAUCAGGUGGCUAAGCGUUGAUGCUUUUUGAUCAGGUGGCUAAACGUUGAUGCUUUUUGAUCAGGUGGCUAGGCAUUGAUGCUCACUGCAGGUUUCAACUGAAUCACUUUGGUUUACUCCAAAAGAGAGGUAUUAGCUUAUAACUACUAUACACUGUGCUCUUUGGUGUCUGAAGGAAAGAAAUAUGCUCUUAGAUAUAUAUUUAAAUAUAUGGUUUCCGUUGCAAUUUAAAAUUGGAUAUAUAUAGUUUUAAGCACACAACACAUAUGCUAAUUUGAAGGUUCAUCACAAUGGAACUCUAUAAUGUCUGAGAGGUCCUCUAUAGUUCCAUCGUCAGGCUUCCCAAGUUUAAUCUUUCUCCAAGAAUUCAAAAAGUUUCCAUAUGGCGGAAGGGAUGUAACACUUCUGAAGUCAUUUGAGUUCCAAGACCUAUAAUCAUGUGGUCAGUUUUUACCGUUUCAAGUUUCAACAGUGGUCACUCCACUUUGGGUCAGCUUGCAUUCAGUUACAUGCCAGUUAAGUUCAAGUUUCUUCGUGCAAGAGCGUGCACCCGAACAUCACCUCUCAAUUUAGCUAUAGAGAUUCUGAAAUGGAGUGAGGAGAGAACAAACAUAUGCGUGAUGUAUACUCUAUGUCCAGUACUUAUCAAGUUCUUCACAAAUCAGUGUAUUCACAUUAAAAACAAGUCUAAUGUAAAUAGUCACCACUAUCUGGAGUAGAGAUUCUUACACAUUGAUCUUAAUUGUUUGAGAUUCAGUUCAGCGCAUUCAUUUCUUUUUUGAACUUGACCAUUGAAGCUCUUCGCAACUAAACCAUGACUUGAACCCCUCUAACCAUCGACUGUUCUCUUUUUUUUUGUGACUAAUCGAGUGUUCUAUAAUGAACGCUGACAUUAACAUUUUAACAAUCUGUGAAACAAAACAACUCAUCCUUCGUAAGUAAUCCUGUUGAGCAGCAUGCAUCAUGAACUAAUAAAAUGUUUUUUUUUGUGCAACAUUAGUUAUCUACUUAAUUAACUUCAUUUGGUAACUAAAUGUCUUUUUUUUAAAAAAAAUUCUCUCGCAAGUUAUCAUGUAAAUACCAUAUGUUUUGAACCAAGUGUUGUCCAAGGUUGAGUCCUCACAAAAAGAGUACGAAAUAUGAGGAAACCAUAAGAGAAGACAAACUAAUACCACAUUAAACAACAACAUGUCAACGUUUUUCAUUUAUGUUCACAAAAAAUUAAAAAAGAGUUUAAAAAUCACAAAAAAUGUAUGAAGUUUAACAAAAACAAUAAAAACUAAAGUUAAUUAGAAGUAAGAAAAAAACUAAUAAUGACAGAAAUUUUACGGAAAUAAAAAUCAAUUAAGUUAUAUCGAAUUAGAAUGUGAUAUUAAUUAAAAACAAUAAAUGUUUUUACUAAAAAUGAAAAUAUGAAAAUAAUGGUUUUGGAUCAUAAUUUUGGACCGAAAAUAUAUUCUAAAUUCCCCUAAACAAUUAAAUAGAUGCAUUAAUCCUUAAUAUUGUAAUCAAGCAUAUAAGAAAAAACAUUACGUUAGAACGUAUAUAAACAUUACAAAAGAUAAAAGAUAGUAUAUGUAAAAUUAAAUAGUAUUUAGUGGUAAAAGUAAAAUAAAUUGAGAAUAUCUAGAUUAUAUUUUUACACUGAUUUUAAUCAAUGAAUAAUAUUUUAACUAUAGUUAGAUUGUCAAAUAUUAUUCUGUUUAUAAUAAAAAUAUAAUAUAUUAAAUAAUAAUAAUUUUGUAGAAUUUUUAGUUAAUUUAACUCAUACAACAUUUUUUUGGAGAAGACAACCGAGAAGAGUUUCCUUACAUUCUAAUAUUAUAAUAUAGAAUCAAUUGACAACAACUUAAUAUGUCCAGUUUAUAUUUCCAAUUAUCACAAAUAUAGAAUCAAUUGACAACAACUUAAUUAUGUCCAGCGUAAGACAACCGAGAAGAGUUUCCUUACAUUCUAAUAUUAUAAUAUCUCACUACAUUAGUGGCUAAAUCAGUUUUCUCUAGCACAAAUACUCACUUCAUUCUUGGAGUUUAAGCUUUUCUAUAUGAUGAUAUUAGUAGUUUGAUCCAAAAAAAAAAACGAUCGAACCGUACAUUGUAAUUGGAGAAAGAAAACAAACAAAAAUCAACCGGAGACUUUUCAGGUAUAUGAAACAAAAAUUAGAAAUCGCAAUUCUCUGCAGUUAAAGAAUAAGGCAAUAAAAUUGUAAAAAUACAAAGAAAGAAAGAUUUAGUAAAAUAAAAUUAUAAUAUAAUUUUCAUAAUUUAUAGUGCUCAGUUAAACUAAAAAGUCUAAAUCUACAACAUACACAGUUUUAUUUACAUCUUUAAACCUAUUAUCUAAUUAAAAUGAUUCUACAAAAAGUGCCAGCACGAAGAGUUAGAAAAUAUAUGAUAAAAUAUAAUACAUAACGUUAAAAUACAUUAUCACUUAUCACUAAAAAAUCAUGUUAGUAGUAAUAAAAA